rnacentral:rRNA from 1 species
AACGAACGCUGGCGGCAGGCUUAACACAUGCAAGUCGAGCGCCCCGCAAGGGGAGCGGCAGACGGGUGAGUAACGCGUGGGAAUCUACCCAUCUCUACGGAAUAACGCAUGGAAACGUGUGCUAAUACCGUAUACGUCCUUCGGGAGAAAGAUUUAUCGGAGAUGGAUGAGCCCGCGUUGGAUUAGCUAGUUGGUGGGGUAAAGGCCUACCAAGGCGACGAUCCAUAGCUGGUCUGAGAGGAUGAUCAGCCACACUGGGACUGAGACACGGCCCGAGCUCCUACGGGAGGCAGCAGUGGGGAAUAUUGGACAAUGGGCGCAAGCCUGAUCCAGCCAUGCCGCGUGAGUGAUGAAGGCCCUAGGGUUGUAAAGCUCUUUCACCGGUGAAGAUAAUGACGGUAACCGGAGAAGAAGCCCCGGCUAACUUCGUGCCAGCCGCCGCCGUAAGAC